UACGUAGGGUGCGAGCGUUAUCCGGAAUCAUUGGGCGUAAAGAGCUUGUAGGCGGUUUGUCGCGUCUGCUGUGAAAAUCCGGGGCUCAACCCCGGACUUGCAGUGGGUACGGGCAGGCUAGAGUGUGGUAGGGGAGACUGGAAUUCCUGGUGUAGCGGUGGAAUGCGCAGAUAUCAGGAGGAACACCGAUGGCGAAGGCAGGUCUCUGGGCCACUACUGACGCUGAGAAGCGAAAGCAUGGGGAGCGAACAGG
rnacentral:rRNA from 1 species